rnacentral:misc_RNA from 1 species
GAUGAAGAACGUAGCGAAAUGUGAUAAGUAAUGUGAAUUGCAGAAUUCAGUGAAUCAUCGAAUCUUUGAACGCACCUUGCGCCCUUUGGACAUUCCGAAGGGCAUGCCUGUUUGAGUAUCAUGAACACCUCAACUCUCACGGCUUGUCCGUGAUGAGCUUGGACUUUGGGGGUCUUGCCGGCCUGUGGUCGGCUCCUCUCAAAUGGAUCAGCUUGCCAGUGUUUGGUGGCAUCACAGGUGUGAUAACUAUCUGCGCUUGUGGUUUUCCAUCAGAUAACCUUCAGUGAUAUGGAGGUUCGCUGGAGCUCACAAAUGUCUCUCCUUAGUGAGGACAGCUCUUUGAACGUUUGAUCUCAAAUCAGGUAGGACUACCCGCUGAACUUAAGCAUAUCAAUAAGCGGAGGA